GAGAGUUAAACAGUACGUGAAAUUGUUGAAAGGGAAACGAUUGAAGCCAGUCGUACCUUCGGGUAAUCAGCCUUUCGGGUGCGAUUCUGUGGGGUUUGAGGAGCUUAACACCUUCAUGCUUUGCAUAUUCGUGCUCUUGGGUGUACUUGCCCGUGUGGUUGGUUAACAUCAAUUUUGGUGGUCAUAAAAUGACUGGAGGAAUGUAGCUUCGAUCUUGUAUUGAAGUGUUAUAGCCUUCGGUAGAUGUGAUGAUCGAGAUUGAGGAUUGCAACGGAUACCCUUCGGGGCUACCUGUCUGGUCUCUGAUCGUUGCUCUGGUGCCGAAAGCUUGCUUACGGUUAUCAAAGUCGAUGGUCAAUAGGUUAGAACGGGUUAAAUUCGUUAAGGAUGUUGACGUAAUGGCUUUAAACGA
rnacentral:rRNA from 1 species